rnacentral:lncRNA from 1 species
CAAUAAAUUCGGGUUUUUCAAUAUCGGUUUUUUCUCGGGUUUUUCGAAUUUUUUUUCCGGUAAAAUCUUCGUAGAACAAAAUAUAUAACGUAUGCUCAAAAUAUUUCUUUAAUUCUAGUAUGAUACAACUAUAUAAAGUAUUUUUUAAGAAAAUAGUAUAAAAUAUGAGACAUGUCAUGACUCAUGACAUUAUCCUAUAAUAUUCAGCAAUAAAAAAAUAAUAAAAUUAUGUACUAUAAAUAUUACUAAAUAAAAAGUCAUAAUAAAAAUAAACAUAAUGUAAAAGCACUAAUUCAUGCUAAACUAGAUAGACUAAUAAGGGAGUAUUAAUUAUAUGCAAAAAGCCAAAGAAAAAUAAAAAUAGGUUAUUUAUUUUUAUCUAAGUUAUUGCAAAAUACAACAUAGACAUUUAAUACAUUCACGUUCGUAAUAUUGAAUUGAAUGUCUUUUGUUAACAUUAGUAUUUCUGUUAAUUGUUCUUCUUCCACUUCUGUAUGCUCUAAUAAAGAUUCUUGUACUCUUGAUUGCUUCUGAUCUAAAUCUUGUUGCUUUACCUUCCAAUGUAAACAGUUCCAUUUGUCAUAAUAAAAUUGAUGCUAAUGACAUGAACUACAUUUGGCAUUUAAGACUGGCUCACAUUCCUUUUGCACACAUGAAACACAUUUUUGCUUUAUCUUUUCCUUUUGCUUCUAAACAGGCUUUUCCCUGUUCUGUUUGUUCCAUGGCUAGGCAAACUAGACUCGCUUUUCCUGACAGUUCCAUCAGUACCUGUAGACCUUUCCAACUUAUUCAUGUAGAUACUUGGGGCCCUUAUCACACCCCUACCUCUUCUGGUUGUAAAUAUUUCCUUACUAUAGUUGAUGAUUUCUCAAGAGCCACCUGGACACAUUUACUGGGCUCUAAAAGUAAUGCUUUCAGCCUCAUCAAGUCCUUUAUAUGUAUCGUCAAAACACAAUUUAAUGCCACUAUACAAACUGUCAGAAGUGAUAAAGCUUUUGAAUUAGGGUCUAGUCUUGCUGGUGUUUCCUUAUUUAAUCAACAAGGAAUCAUUCAUCAAACUACUUGUCCCCAUACUCCCCAGCAAAAUGGUGUUGUGGAAAGAAAACAUAGAAUCCUUCUUGAAACAUGUAGAGCUUUACUUAUUCAAUCACUUUUACCUAUUCAUUUUUGGGGGGACUGCCUAUUAACUUCCACCUACUUGCUUAAUAGGAUUCCCUCCAGACUUCUUCACAAUAAGUCUUCUUAUGAAGUAUUGCAUGGCCAAGCCCCUACUUAUUCUCAUUUAAGGGCUUUUGGGUGUCUUGCCUAUGCCACUGUACCCAUUCCACAAAGAGAUAAACUUCAACCUAGAGCUUUGUCUUGUGUUUUUCUAGGAUAUCCCUUUGCCAAAAAGGGCUACAGGCUGUAUGACCUAACUACUAAGAAGUAUUUUGUGUCCAGAGAUGUUGUCUUUCAUGAAACCUGUUUUCCUGCUACAGGCUGUAUGACCUAACUACUAAGAAGUAUUUUGUGUCCAGAGAUGUUGUCUUUAAUGAAAUCUGUUUUCCUUUUCAAUCUGCUUCUUCUGCUCCUCCUCCUGCUUUUGUUUUUCCUCCUCCUCCUGUUCCUUCCUCUGAUAUUCCAUAUUCUGAUUUUGUCCUGCCUACUUUCCGUUGUCCUUCUCCUCCUGUUUCUUCCCCUUCUGCUUCCAGCCCAGCUUAUCCUUCACUUCCUUCCUCGGUUUCCUCUCCUUCUGUUCCUCCUCCUGCUGUUCCUCCUCCUUCUUUCCCUACUUCUUCUUCUGUUGUUCCUACUGGACACAGAAGAUCUGGCAGACCACAUAAUCCUCCAUCUUAUCUCAAUGAUUAUGUUUGUCACUUGCCUUCCUUUUCUGGUUCCACCUCCUCCUCUUCUCCUUUGGAGUCUGAACCCCUCUUUUAUUCUCAAGCUGCCUCUGUCCCAGCUUGGCAGGAUGCCAUGAGCAAGGAGUUUGAGGCUUUGGAUGCCAUAAGCUGCCUCUAUCCCAGCUUAGCAGGAUGGCAUGAGCAAGGAGUUAGAGGCUUUGGAUGCCAACCAUACUUGGGACAUUGUUCCACUUCCUUCUGGCAAAAAGCCCAUAGGAUGCAAGUGGGUCUAUAAGAUUAAAUAUAAAGCUGAUGGAACUAUUGAAAGAUACAAAGUUAGGCUUGUAAUUAGGGGUGAUACUCAAAUUGAAGGUAUUGAUUUCACUGAAACAUUCUCUCAUGUGGUCAAGCUGUCUAUUGUUAAGUGUCUGAUUGCUGUGGCUGUUAAGAAACAUUGGGGUCUUUUCCAACUUGAUGUCAAUAAUACUUUCUUGCAUGGUGAUCUUGAUGAGGAGGUCUAUAUGAAGCUUCCCCCAGGUUUAUGUGUUUCUGUCCCUUCUUGUUCUUCUUCCUCUGCCCCUCUUGUAUGCAAAUUACAGAAGUCCCUUUAUG